rnacentral:rRNA from 1 species
UAGGGAAUCUUCCACAAUGGACGCAAGUCUGAUGGAGCAACGCCGCGUGAGUGAAGAAGGUUUUCGGACCGUAAAGCUCUGUUGUUGGUGAAGAAGGAUAGAGGUAGUAACUGGCCUUUAUUUGACGGUAAUCAACCAGAAAGUCACGGCUAACUACGUGCCAGCAGCCGCGGUAAUACGUAGGUGGCAAGCGUUGUCCGGAUUUAUUGGGCGUAAAGCGAGCGCAGGCGGAAGAAUAAGUCUGAUGUGAAAGCCCUCGGCUUAACCGAGGAAUUGCAUCGGAAACUGUUUUCUUGAGUGCAGAAGAGGAGAGUAGAA